rnacentral:rRNA from 1 species
AAUGAACGUUGGCGGCGUGGAUUAGGCAUGCAAGUCGCGCGACAAGGAACCUUCGGGUUCUGGAGGAGCGGCAAACGGGGUAGUAAGGCAUCGGAACGUACCCUCUUGUUGGGAAUAGCCGCGGGAAACUGCGAGUAAUGCCCAAUAAUCCCUACGGGGCAAAGGUCCGCCGCAGGAGGAGCGGCCGAUGUGAUACCAGCUAGUUGGUGAGGUAAUGGCUCACCAAGGCUUAGACGUCUAGGGGGUGUGAGAGCAUGGCCCCCACCACUGGGACUGAGAUACUGCCCAGACACCUACGGGUGGCUGCAGUCGAGAAUCUUCGGCAAUGGGCGCAAGCCUGACCGAGCAACGCCGCGUGCGGGAUG